rnacentral:piRNA from 1 species
UCUCUAUGGAUUUUUUGCUUG